GACGAACGCUGGCGGCGUGCUUAACACAUGCAAGUCGAACGGAAAGGCCCUGCUUUUGUGGGGUGCUCGAGUGGCGAACGGGUGAGUAACACGUGAGUAACCUGCCCUUGACUUUGGGAUAACUUCAGGAAACUGGGGCUAAUACCGGAUAGGAGCUUCUGCUGCAUGGUGGGGGUUGGAAAGUUUCGGCGGUUGGGGAUGGACUCGCGGCUUAUCCGCUUGUUGGUGGGGUAGUGGCUUACCAAGGCUUUGACGGGUAGCCGGCCUGAGAGGGUGACCGGCCACAUUGGGACUGAGAUACGGACCAGACUCCUACGGGAGGCAGCAGUGGGGAAUAUUGCACAGUGGGCGGAAGCCUGAUGCAGCAACGCCGCGUGCGGGAUGACGGCCUUCGGGUUGUAAACCGCUUUCGCCGGUGACGAAGCGUGAGUGACGGUAAUGGGUAAAGAAGCACCGGCUAACUACGUG
rnacentral:rRNA from 1 species